CACAUGCAAGUCGAGCGGCAGCGGAAGUAGCUUGCUACUUUGCCGGCGAGCGGCGGACGGGUGAGUAAUGUCUGGGAAACUGCCUGAUGGAGGGGGAUAACUACUGGAAACGGUAGCUAAUACCGCAUGACCUCGAAAGAGCAAAGUGGGGGAUCUUCGGACCUCACGCCAUCGGAUGUGCCCAGAUGGGAUUAGCUAGUAGGUGAGGUAAUGGCUCACCUAGGCGACGAUCCCUAGCUGGUCUGAGAGGAUGACCAGCCACACUGGAACUGAGACACGGUCCAGACUCCUACGGGAGGCAGCAGUGGGGAAUAUUGCACAAUGGGCGCAAGCCUGAUGCAGCCAUGCCACGUGUAUGAAGAAGGCCUUCGGGUUGUAAAGUACUUUCAGCGGGGAGGAAGGUGUUGUGGUUAAUAACCGCAGCAAUUGACGUUACCCGCAGAAGAAGCACCGGCUAACUCC
rnacentral:rRNA from 1 species